CGGGGGGCGCCCACAGCCCCGACGUGUCCCGGUGGGACCGGCCGUGCCUGUCACACCCGGUGCGGGUGACCGGGCACUUCCCCGGCGUCGGGUGAUUUCCCGGUGCAAUUUGGACGGGGACAAGUGGGUACAAAUUGAAGGAGAGGAAAUUUAGGUUAGGUGUUCUUAAGGAAUUCUUUACUGUGAGGGUGGUGAGACACUGGCACGGGUUGCCCAGGAAGGUUGUGGGUGCCCCAGCUCUGGCAGUGUUCAAAGCCAGCUUGGAUAAGGCCUUGAGCAGACGAGUCAAGUGGGAGGUGCCCCAGCCCCUGGCAGAGGGGGUUGGGACUAGAUGAUCUUUGGGGUCCCUUCCAGCUCAAGGUUCUGUGUUUGCGUUUUUUAAAAAAAAAAAGGAAAUGCUCAACAAAAUCACAUCCUGGCAUUGCCCAGGUUGGUUACUGGAGGUUUUCAGACCCACUGUUGAUCUUGUCUGUUGCAGUCACUGCAUGCACGGGCAUGGAAAGAGGGGGUAAAUGGCAGGUUUGCUGUAGAUCUUUCAGAAAUGUUGCGAGUUGGGGCAAAUUUGUCAGGACAGGCUGUUGGAAGGCACUGGGAAUUUUGGGGUCCCAGUCUCUGCACUGAGGUCUCCUUGCUGUCCUUCCUGUGUAAUGGAAGGCAAACUCAAAUCCUGAGCCAAGCCUCUGGUCAAAAUUCGUGAGAUGAGUGAAGUCUUCAUCUUUAAGAAUAGCAUCUUGAAAUAAUACAUUGUAUGUUACUUGGUUUAGAGCCUGUAAUUUUUAUCUUUGGUAUGCUCAAGCUUUUCUCCAAAUCCCAAAGGGAAAUAACAAAACUUUUUUUUUCUCAAUGAAAGCUGAGAUUAACAUCUAAUCAUCUUCCCCUUCAGAGGCUUUUUUUUGAGGUUUUAGGAGCACCAACUUAGGUUAAACGAGGAAGUUUGGACAAUAGUGUUUUCCUUUGAGUGGAACUCCGCAGAAGUCUGACUGAGGGAGACUGCGGGCCCAAGACCAGUGGAGAGGUCUGUGAAGGGACAAAAUUCAUGAAAGAAUUGAAACCAGAGAAGGAGAUGAGACCACGUGGAGGCCUGGCCAGUUGAAAUAGAUACCUUGGUUCUGUCUGGAGGCCUUAGAAGCAUUUCUGAGUUCUUCCUCAGUCCUCCUUCAUCACUGAAUCUGUUAUUCAAAAGUUUGGGUAAAGAUGACAGGAACAGUACAGAGAGCAGCACAGACCAUGUGAAGGCACCUGAAAGUGAAAAGAUCAAGACUAGGUUUCAGGAAGGGAGAGCUGGAUGAGACAUCUGAAAGUUUCUUGGGAUCCCAGGUGACAUAAAGGUGUAGAAGGGGAAUGAUUCAGAAUCCCACGUGUGAAGAGCAUGCCUCAGCCAGAUCCUAGCCCGUGUGUGUAAAGUUCCCGGAGGAGUUUCUGCUCCUGUCCUCCUUCGUCACCUAUGGCUUUCCUAGUCAUAGGGAAGAGCUUUUUCUUCCAGGCUUUUCCUAGUCACCAGGAGGGGAUCUUGAGAGACAGGUGUGUGGCUAGCAGACUCCCUAUGCUGCUGUAAGGAAAUAGAGAAUCGGGAAAGGGGUAAUGGCACCAUGCUUUGUCAGUCUUCUAUCAGCUGAGCCCUGAUUUGGAUCCUGAUUCUAUUCCACACACGUAUGAGAGAAGGCAGAUUUAAUAAUCCAAAUAAGUGUGCGGCUUUUUGAGCAAUUAGACAAAUGAACUGGUAAAUACACUUGUGACAGAUGACUCUAUUAUAAUAACAUAAGUAUGCAUUUGUCAUAUUUAGGCAUCUUCAGAGUUUCCCAAAAGUAGAGAAUAAAUGGAACAAUUCAGCUAUAACAGGUGACAAACUUAAAAACACUCAGAAGACGAAUUUUAAAGAUGAAUUUUGGCAAACUUAAAUACAGUUGUUGUAAUAUCAUCCAAGUUACUGAAGUAGAGGCAUAAUACAUAACUAUUCAGAAUGUGUACAAUUCUGACAUAAUUGUAAUUCAAACAACUUCCUAUAGUAGACAGCCACAUCUUUAAUUGAAAAAUGCUGCAGAAACAUUUCUUAGUUAUUUUGGCAGUUUAGAAAACUGAAGAGACCCAUCACUCCUUAUCAAAAACAACCAGUGAACUGACCAAUGUAGAACAUGUUGAACGAGUGAUAUCUUUCAGUGUAAGAAAAAUGUCUUGGAACAUUCUAGACUAAAUACAAAUGUUUGAACAGCAAGAAACACUUCUAUUUUCCAGGUUUGGAAUGUUAAAAAAGAAAAAAACCCUUCAAUUUGUCAUUUAUGGCCUGAC